UACGUAGGGUCCGAGCGUUGUCCGGAAUUACUGGGCGUAAAGAGCUCGUAGGUGGUUUGUCACGUUGUUCGUGAAAACCCACAGUUCAACUGUGGGCGUGCGAGCGAUACGGGCAGACUAGAGUACUGCAGGGGAGACUGGAAUUCCUGGUGUAGCGGUGAAAUGCGCAGAUAUCAGGAGGAACACCGGUGGCGAAGGCGGCAUCCUGGACCAACACUGACACUGAGGAGCGAAAGCCAGGGGAGCAAACGGG
rnacentral:rRNA from 1 species